ensembl:lncRNA novel transcript
AUAAAACUGCUCGUAGCUGCAUAUUAUCUACCGAACUUAGGUGGAUUCUCAGAAAGAAAAAGGUGAUGUUCACUGGCAUGAACAGUGAAUGGUGGAGUGGAACGUGAACAGGCUGGAGCUCUGGCUGUGCCAUUUAUUAGCCAUGUGCCUUUAGAAGGUCCUCAUCUUCUCCAGCCUCAGUUUCACCAUCUGUAAUGGAGUAUCCAUGACCCAGAGAGAGUAUCAGUGUCAAGAAUCUGCCAGUGAGAAAGUGAUUUGAAGCAGCUCUGGAGUUCAGAUGGCCACGGGUGCAAGUGCCUGCUCUGGUGUGCUUUGCCUCUGGAAAGAUGCCAAGUCUUUGAGAAUCUUUGCUGCAUCAGCCAUGCUACAUCCUGAGGACUUGGAGCCAAACUCCUUGCAGUAUUUGUCUACACAACCUGUCUCUACUUCCUCACCUCCCACUCAAUCCUCCUGAUGGUGCAGCCUUUAAAAACCGUGUUGAAUACUUGGAGUCUGGAAGAAGCAAGGUAAAGAGAGCAAAGGUUAUUUUCACCCUGAAGAGACAGCCUUUAGAGAAGUACAGCCAGGGAGUGAUCGAGUCCCCUAACAAAGACACUUUGGUGAACCAAGAAUGGGAUGGCCCCGACUAGAGUUGGUCUUCACUGCCAGAUGUCCAAUCUAUCUUCACAGCACAUUGGGCAGAACCCACAGUUCUCUCAUCUCAUGACAUACAUGCAUGCAGAUCCCUCCUGAAUUAUGAGCCCUUUUCCUGGCAGCACCAGACUCCAGAUCAAGCCUAGUACAGCCAGAGCCAGUCUCUCUGUGCCCUUCCAAUCAACAGCCUUCUCUGCAAUAAGGAGGGGACCCAUGGCUUCAGUGAGGCCCAAGCAAUACCAAGAAGAGAAGAAGGAUAUGAAGAAAAACACCAUAAAUAGGAUUUCUGAUGUCCAUUUUAUAGAUGAAGAAGGAAGGUUUAGCAAGGCCAUUCAAGGAUACACAGCUAGAGGACGAGAUGGAAUUGAAGUCCCUUUGUCAGCAUCCUUUUCAUUCUUGAUGCCAUUUCAUUUCCCCUCCUGGAAAGCCUUCCCACUCCAAGAGAAAAACUAUUAUACAAAUGAUACAACCUGCUAUGGAAAAAAGAGAAAUAACAGAUAAGUAUACAAAGAAAAUACAAGAAAAACAUGAACAGUAAUAAUCUUAUCCAAAUGUUACUGAGAUAUUUUUGGAGUACUUAAUUUCAAUCUUUUUCCUAUAUGCAAACACACACAACUUUUCUCUAACAAAAAUCAGAUCAUACUGUACUAGCAAACACCCUACCUGAAAUCUGUAUAUCCAUUGCCUAUUGAUUAUGCCCAUUGCUUAACAUACUAUGUUUUAUUUAAUCAUUAUUUAAUUGUUGAGUAUGCAAGUUAUUUCUGAGUUUUCACUCAAGCUGUUUACGCUUAUUUCUGUCUGGGUGUGAAUGAAUCUUUGGCACAUUCCUCUAGCAAGUUGAUCAACAUCUGGUCUAAGAUAUUCUUCGGUGUUGGGUUUGUGCUGUCCACAUCAGCUUAGCAAUGUCUGCACAAAGACUCCUUCCCCCUCAAAAGUGCCAUUCAGACUUGCUGUGGGUAUAAGGGGAACAAUCUCAUUGAGGAGAAAGUUGUCAUUGUGGUUGAGAACAUGAACUUUGGAAUUGGAUAGAGCUGUGUGAAUUUGGCCUAAACUCCGAGUCUGCUUCCACAUCUGUAAAAUGUAGACACAAAUAGUUACUCAUAAGGUUCUGGUGGGGAUUAAAUGUGGUUAUACCUGUAAAGUCCUUAGCAUUAUGCCCAGCACAUAGUGAAGAUGUUCGAUAAAUGAUAACUAAACAAACAUUGUGUCCCCUCCCACUACAACCACACUGCUCUCCCUCACCUUACAGACUUUGCUGCUUGACAAUCUUGGGGUGGGGCUGCUGAAAACUGAAUCUCAAUUUAGGAAGCCAUGUUGUCCCAGGAUUAGGGUUAUUGGCCUCACAUAAGAAUCUCCAAAUCUGCAGAAUCUCAGGCCCCACCCAAAAACUAUUCAAUCAGAAACUACAUUUUCAAAAGAUAUCCCAGAUGAUUUGUAUGCAUAGUAAAGUUUGAGAAGGUUUUAGUCCAGGUAUUCAGGAAGUGAUGCUGGUUGUGUAUGGAGGACAGGGGCCCAGGAACUGAUGAAAUCUCUAGUUUGGAAUUCUCGAUAGCAUUUGCAUUCUUUUUUUUUUUUUUUAUCUCAAA